UGCCAGCCGCCGCGGUAAUACGGAGGGUGCAAGCGUUGUUCGGAAUUAUUGGGCGUAAAGCGCGUGUAGGCGGUUCGUUAAGUCUGAUGUGAAAGCCCGGGGCUCAACCCCGGAAGUGCAUUGGAAACUGGCGAACUUGAGUACGGGAGAGGAAAGUGGAAUUCCGAGUGUAGGGGUGAAAUGCGUAGAUAUGUGGAGGAAUACCGGUGGCGAAGGCGGCCUCCUGGCUCGAUACUGACGCUCAGGUGCGAAAGCGUGGGGAGCAAACAGGAUUAGAUA
rnacentral:rRNA from 1 species